rnacentral:rRNA from 1 species
ACUACGGGGGGCUGCAGUGAGGAAUAUUGGUCAAUGGGCGGAAGCCUGAACCAGCCAAGUAGCGUGCAGGAUGACGGCCCUACGGGUUGUAAACUGCUUUUAUACGGGAAUAACGCGCCUUACGUGUAGGGCUUUGCAUGUACCGUAUGAAUAAGGACCGGCUAAUUCCGUGCCAGCAGCCGCGGUAAUACGGAGGGUCCGGGCGUUAUCCGGAUUUAUUGGGGUUAAAGGGAGCGUAGGCCGCAUGUCAAGCGUGCUGUGAAAUGUCCGGGCUCAACCCGGGCCUUGCAGCGCGAACUGGCGUGCUUGAGUCCGCGGCAAGCAGGCGGAAUUCGUCGGGUAGCGGUGAAAUGCUUAGAUAUGACGAAGAACCCCGAUUGCGAAGGCAGCUUGCUGCAGCGGAACUGACGCUGAUGCUCGAAAGCGCGGGUAUCGAACAGGAUUAGAUACCCUUGUAGUC